rnacentral:rRNA from 1 species
UACAGAGGUCCCAAGCGUUGUUCGGAUUCAUUGGGCGUAAAGGGUGCGUAGGCGGCGCCGUAAGUCGGAUGUGAAAUCUCGGGGCUCAACCCCGAAACUGCAUUCGAUACUGCGGUGCUAGAGGACUCUAGAGGAAACUGGAAUUCACGGUGUAGCAGUGAAAUGCGUAGAUAUCGUGAGGAAGACCAGUGGCGAAGGCGGGUCUCUGGACAGUUCCUGACGCUGAGGCACGAAGGCCAGGGGAGCAAACGGG